UACGAAGGGGGCUAGCGUUGCUCGGAAUCACUGGGCGUAAAGGGUGCGUAGGCGGUUCUUUAAGUCAGGGGUGAAAUCCUGGAGCUCAACUCCAGAACUGCCUUUGAUACUGAGGAUCUUGAGUUCGGGAGAGGUGGGUGGAACUGCGAGUGUAGAGGUGAAAUUCGUAGAUAUUCGCAAGAACACCAGUGGCGAAGGCGGCUCACUGGCCCGAUACUGACGCUGAGGCACGAAAGCGUGGGGAGCAAACAGG
rnacentral:rRNA from 1 species